GGGCCCGCACAAGCGGUGGAGUAUGUGGUUUAAUUCGAUGCAACGCGAAGAACCUUACCAGGGUUUGACAUCCUGCGAAUCUCUUGGAAACGAGAGAGUGCCUUCGGGAGCGCAGUGACAGGUGGUGCAUGGCUGUCGUCAGCUCGUGUCGUGAGAUGUUGGGUUAAGUCCCGCAACGAGCGCAACCCACGUCUUUAGUUGCCAGCAUUUAGUUGGGUACCCUAAGGAGACUGCCGGUGAUAAGCCGGAGGAAGGUGUGGACGACGUCAAGUCAUCAUGGCCCUUACGGGUUGGGCUACACACGUGCUACAAUGGCAUCUACAGUGAGUUAAUCUCCAAAAGAUGUCUCAGU
rnacentral:rRNA from 1 species